rnacentral:rRNA from 1 species
CCUACGGGAGGCAGCAGUGAGGAAUAUUGGUCAAUGGACGCAAGUCUGAACCAGCCACGCCGCGUGCAGGAAGACGGCUCUAUGAGUUGUAAACUGCUUUUGUACGAGGGUAAACGCAGAUACGCGUAUCUGUCUGAAAGUAUCGUACGAAUAAGGAUCGGCUAGCUCCGUGCCAGCAGCCGCGGUAAUACGGAGGAUUCAAGCGUUAUCCGGAUGUAUUGGGUGUAAAGGGUGCGUAGGCGGUCGGAUAAGUUAGAGGUGAAAUCCCGAGGCUCAACUUCGGAAUUGCCUCUGAUACUGUUCGGCUAGAGAGUAGUUGUGGUAGGCGGAAUGUAUGGUGUAGCGGUGAAAUGCUUAGAGAUCAUACAGAACACCGAUUGCGAAGGCAGCUUACCAAGCUACUUCUGACGUUGAGGCACGAAAGCGUGGGGAGUAAACAGGAUUAGAUACCCCUGUAGUC